CAGUAAUUUUGUUGUUUAUGCACAAACUAACUUAUAUUAAAUAACAUUGGGCUAUUCCAUUAAAUAUCCGUACCCCCCCUGUCGAGGAUCCCUGGAAUUCUUCAGGGGUAAAGGGUUUUGAGCUUGGAAUUCUUCAGGGGUAAAGUGUUUUGAGCUUGGAAUUCUUCAGGGUAAAGUGUUUUGAGUUUGGAAUUCUUCAGGGGUAAAUGGUUUUGAGCUUGGAAUUCUUCAGGGGUAAAGGGUUUUGAGCUUGGAAUUCUUCAGGGGUGAAGAGGUUUGAGAUUGAAAUUUUUCAGAGCUUGGAAUUCUUCAGGGGUAAAAGGUUUUGAGCUUGAAAUUCUUCAGGGGUAAAGGGCUUUGAGCCUGGAAUUCUUUAGGGGUGAAGGGUUUUGAGCUUGGAAUUCUUCAGGGGUAAAAGGUUUUGAGCUUGGAAUUCCUCAGGGGUAAAGGGUUUUGAGCUUGGAAUUUUGGAAUUCUUCAGGGGUAAAAGGUUUUGAGCUUGGAAUUCUUCAGGGGUAAAGAGUUUUGAGCUUGGAAUUUUGGAAUUCUUCAGGGGUAAACAGUUUUGAGCUUGGAAUUCUUCAGGGGUAUGACAAUGAAAAACAUGUAUCCUCGACAGGGGGGUACGGAUAUUAAAUGGAAUAGCCCAUUUCGAAUUUUCAGAGUCGUGCACCAAGAAAUACGCAUUAAAUAAACUAGCAAGAAUGUCCAGAGUUAGACACAAUGCAAAAUGCAUAGGAAACAGGUACAAUUGGUUCAACAUUUUCACGAAAUUGUUUGAAACAUUUUGCCCGCUGAGGCCCCACUCCACGAAACACGAAAGGCCCCGCCAUUUUGAAAAGGAUCAAGCAGCUCAUUAAUAUUCUAUUUUGUGGCUAUCGACGAUUGGAGAUUGGACAUUGGAGAUUGCCGAUCCAAGAACAGAGCCGAAACCUAUACUCGUCUGGGGCACAGGUGCCCCAGCGAGUAAAAAGCAAGCAACGCAGUCAGUAAUUGCCAAAUUUGCAAGUGCUCAUUUUCAACUAAAAUCGGAACAGGCAAAUUAGGACGAAUUUCAACAGAAAACCAGUCUCAAACUUCAAAACGUGAGAGAAGUCGUGCGACCACAUUAGCAUUUAUAUUUAUGUGUGCUUCGCUGUCGCCAUUGGCAUUGUUAUAAAUAAAUUGUCUCACUUAUCAGAUCGUGUGUGCAUGCAAUCCUUGUUGGCGGC